UACAGACUCCUACGGGAGGCAGCAGUGGGGAAUAUUGCACAAUGGGGGGAACCCUGAUGCAGCGACGACGCGUGGGUGAAGGAGUAUUUCGGUAUGUAAAGCCCUAUCAGCAGGGAAGAACAAUGACGGUACCUGACUAAGAAGCACCGGCUAAAUACGUGCCAGCAGCCGCGGUAAUACGUAUGGUGCAAGCGUUAUCCGGAUUUACUGGGUGUAAAGGGAGCGCAGGCGGCGCGUUAAGCCUGGUGUGAAAGCCCGCGGCCCAACCGCGGGACUGCAUUGGGAACUGGCGCGCUGGAGUGCCGGAGGGGUAGGCGGAAUUCCUAGUGUAGCGGUGAAAUGCGUAGAUAUUAGGAGGAACACCAGUGGCGAAGGCGGCCUGCUGGGCUUUUACUGACGCUGAGGCUCGAAAGUGUGGGGAGCAAACAGGAUUAGAUACCCCAGUA
rnacentral:rRNA from 1 species